rnacentral:rRNA from 1 species
ACAUAGGGUGCAAGCGUUGUCCGGAAUUAUUGGGCGUAAAGAGCUCGUAGGUGGCUCGUCACGUCGAAUGUGAAACCCUGAGGCUCAACCUCAGGCCUGCAUCCGAUACGGGCGAACUGGAGUGUGGUAGGGGAGACUGGAAUUCCUGGUGUAGCGGUGGAAUGCGCAGAUAUCAGGAGGAACACCAAUGGCGAAGGCAGGUCUCUGGGCCACUACUGACACUGAGGAGCGAAAGCGUGGGGAGCAAACAGG